GUUUAUACUAUACUUACACUAAAGGCACCAGAUCAUGUCUAAUCUUGAAAGAUAAACAGGGUCAGACCUGUUUAGUACUUUGAUAACAGACCACCAAUGAAUAGCAGGUGCUGUAGGCU
rnacentral:rRNA from 11 species